rnacentral:rRNA from 1 species
UACGUAGGUGGCAAGCGUUGUCCGGAAUUAUUGGGCGUAAAGCGCGCGCAGGCGGCCUCCUAAGUCCGAUGUGAAAGCCCACGGCUCAACCGUGGAGGGUCAUUGGAAACUGGGGGACUUGAGUGCAGGAGAGAAGAGUGGAAUUCCACGUGUAGCGGUGAAAUGCGUAGAGAUGUGGAGGAAGACCAGUGGCGAAGGCGGGUCUCUGGACAGUUCCUGACGCUGAGGCACGAAGGCCAGGGGAGCAAACGGG